GAUGAGCCCGCGGCCUAUCAGCUUGUUGGCGGGGUAACGGCCCACCAAGGCUAUGACGGGUAGCUGGUCUGAGAGGACGACCAGCCACACUGGAACUGAGACACGGUCCAGACACCUACGGGUGGCAGCAGUCGAGAAUUUUUCUCAAUGGGCGCAAGCCUGAAGGAGCGACGCCGCGUGGAGGAUGAAGGUCUUCGGAUUGUAAACUCCUGUCAUUCGAGAACAAGGUUCACCAAGUAACUACUGGAGAAUUUGAUAGUAUCGAAAGAGGAAGGGACGGCUAACUCUGUGCCAGCAGCCGCGGUAAUACAGAGGUCCCAAGCGUUGUUCGGAUUCAUUGGGCGUAAAGGGUGCGUAGGUGGCAUGGUAAGUCGGGUGUGAAAUCCCGGGGCUCAACCCCGGAACUGCACUCGAUACUACCGUGCUCGAGUACUGGAGAGGAGACUGGAAUUUACGGUGUAGCAGUGAAAUGCGUAGAUAUCGUAAGGAAGACCGGUGGCGAAAGCUAGUCUCUGGACAGUUACUGACACUGAGGCACGAAGGCCAGGGGAGCAAACGGGAUUAGAU
rnacentral:rRNA from 1 species